GGCCCCGGGGUGUUACAUAUUAGAUUGCAAAUCUUAAGAGGGAACUUCACCGUUCCCGGGGCUU
rnacentral:tRNA from 1 species